AACGAACGCUGGCGGCGCGCCUAAUACAUGCAAGUCGAGCGAGAAGACGUAGCAAUACGUUUGUAAAGCGGCGAACGGGUGAGGAAUACAUGGGUAACCUACCCUCGAGUGGGGAAUAACUAGCCGAAAGGUUAGCUAAUACCGCGUACGCUCCUUGGACUUCGGUUCAGGGAGGAAAGCGAUACCGUGGGUAUCGCGCUCUUGGAUGGGCUCAUGUCCUAUCAGCUUGUUGGGAGGUAACGGCUCACCAAGGCUUCGACGGGUAGCUGGUCUGAGAGGACGAUCAGCCACACUGGCACUGCGACACGGGCCAGACUCCUACGGGAGGCAGCAGUAAGGAAUAUUGCGCAAUGGGCGAAAGCCUGACGCAGCGACGCCGCGUGGGGGAGUGAA
rnacentral:rRNA from 1 species